GUCCACAUGGUGUAAUGGUAACAACCCUUGAUUAUGUAUCAUCAUUUCAUGCUGAGUAUCGAGGUGAAGUGGGUUCAAUUCCUACUGUGGACA